rnacentral:lncRNA from 1 species
CAGCUUAUAUGUGCGGAUUCAAGUUCUUUAGGAGCUUGGAUCAGAGAUUUCUUCAGUCAUCAGCUUCUAUUAGUCAGUAAGUUUAUUAUUCUUAUUGUUCUUCUAGUUUAUGAGUUUCUUUUGAGUAUUUUGAUCUAGUGCACUAGGUUAAAAUAUAAUUUGUAGUGUAAGCGUGGUUCUUAGGUUCGGGUUACUCAUAGAUACACCCUAUAGUCCGGAUCGGUGGU